GUGCUUCCUUUAGCAGCAUAUAUACUAAAACUGGAAGAAUACAGAGAAGAUCAGCAUGGCCUCUGUGCAAGUGUGACACACAAAUUUGUGAAGCGUUCCAUAUUUUU